rnacentral:misc_RNA from 1 species
UCCGGUUUGUCACCGGCAGUCUGGCGUGAGUCCCCAACUAAAUGAUGGCAACACGCCACAGGGGUUGCGCUCGUUGCGGGACUUAACCCAACAUCCCACGACACGAGCUGACGACAGCCAUGCAGCACCUGUGCACGAGCUCCGAAGAGGGGCCGCUGUUUCCAGCAGCUUUCCCGUGCAUGUCAAGCCUAGGUAAGGUUCUGCGCGUUGCGUCGAAUUAAACCACAUGCUCCACCGCUUGUGCGGGCCCCCGUCAAUUCCUUUGAGUUUCAGUCUUGCGACCGUACUCCCCAGGCGGAGUGCUUAAUGCGUUAGCUGCAGCACUAAGGGGCGGAAACCCCCUAACACUUAGCACUCAUCGUUUACAGCGUGGACUAC